rnacentral:rRNA from 1 species
CCCUUAGAUGUUCUGGGCCGCACGCGUGCUACACUGAGUGGAUCAGCGGGUCAGGUUGCGCGAAAGUGUUUCCUAAUCUUUAAAUCCGCUCGUGAUGGGGAUUGGCGGUUGCAAUUUUCCGUCAUGAACGAGGAAUACCUUGUAAGCGCGGGUCAUCAUCCCGCGCUGAAUACGUCCCUGCCCUUUGUACACACCGCCCGUCGCUCCUACCGAUUGAGUGGUCCGGUGAGGCUUUGGGAUCUGAGCGGAAAGAGCGUUUCGCUGUUUCUGCCCGGAAAGCUCAGUCGAACCUUAUCAUUUAGAGGAAGGAGAAGUCGUAACA